CAACCCUCGAGCCCCACGCGGCUUGGUGUUGGGGACCGGCGAUGGUCCUGCCCCGGCAGGCGCGCGCCGCCCCCGAAAUGAAUCGGCGGUCUCGUCGCGGCCUCCCCUGCGUAGUAGCACAACCUCGCACCGGGAGCGCGGCGCGGCCACUGCCGUAAAACGCCCAACCUCUCUCCAGAG
rnacentral:misc_RNA from 1 species